AGGACGAACGCUGGCGGCGUGCUUAACACAUGCAAGUGGAGCGACGAACCAGGGCUUGCCCUGGGGCAGAGCCGCGAACGGGUGAGUAACACGUGGGUUACCUGCCUCGAUGACCGGGACAACCCGAGGAAACUCGGGCUAAUACCGGAUGUGCCCGCAAGGGGAAAGGAAGCUUCGGCCUCCGCAUCGAGAUGGGCCCGCGGCCCAUUAGCUUGUUGGUGAGGUAACGGCUCACCAAGGCUUCGAUGGGUAGCUGGUCUGAGAGGACGAUCAGCCACACUGGGACUGAGACACGGCCCAGACUCCUACGGGAGGCAGCAGUGGGGAAUCUUGCGCAAUGCGCGAAAGCGUGACGCAGCAACGCCGCGUGGGGGAAGAAGGCUUUCGGGUUGUAAACCCCUUUCAGUUGGGACGAAGCUUCGCCGGUGAAUAGCCGGCUGGAGUGACGGUACCUUCACAGAAGCACCGGCUAACUACGUGCCAGCAGCCGC
rnacentral:rRNA from 1 species